GGUUGCGAUCAUACCAGCACGUAAUGCACCGGAUCCCAUCAGAACUCCGCAGUUAAGCGGUGCUUGGGCGAGAGUAGUACUAGGAUGGGUGACCCCCUGGGAAGUCCUCGUGUUGCAACCC
rnacentral:rRNA from 1 species